rnacentral:lncRNA from 1 species
UGGGAAUUAAUUUUUCAUAAAGGUACGAUCAGCAGGCGACGUGCGUUGUUUUGAGGGUUCUAGCUGGUGACAAAAGGGUCGUAAUGAAGCAGGAACGACCUCACGCGGACGAAGAUCUUGAAGCGAAAAUCAUAUCGAGUGAGAUCGGAUGCUUCGGUUCCCUCCUGUUUGCAGUGUUUGUGGCCGAAGGCGAAGCUUGUGGAAAAUACGAACACUUGGUGAGCCAAACGUGCAAGUCAAGAAGUUCAUUGCUAAUCACCUGUUUACUACAUGGCUUGCCUAAAACACUCCCAGCAAGAAACUCUUGGAAAGUAAUUGCUUUUAAUAAAAUAACCAACACUCUAUCUUCAGAGUUUUCACUUAUUAUGGCAGACCCAGAAAACUGACUCAAAUUUGGUAGCAAUUGUGACAAAAGCAGUUUUCAGUAGUUGUUGUUUUUGUUUUUUAUGAUAGCAUAGUAAUCCACUAUGGAUGCCACAUGGAACUCUCAAAAAAUAUUUUUUGUGCUUUAUGUAUCAAUCAAUUUGAUGCGUCAGAUUGAAAAAAAGAAAAAGUGAGUUUUGCCAACUAAAAGAGUUCUUGACAUAGAUGAACUAUGACACUGAAUUUUAAUAUUCACAAAAUUGUCCUCAUAAUAAAAAGUUUGAUAGAAGUCUCACAAAAAAUAAUUUCCCAUACACUUCGAUGGUCUGAAAGAUUCUCUUUCAAACAAAUCUUAUGGUAACUAUAACGGGAUAAAAUAAAUAUCUUGAUUCAGAUAUAUUUCUCAAACUUUUAAGUAUCUUCUUUACAUCUCAAAAUUAUAUCAUAACAUUGGUUAACACAAUGCAAUAAGAACUAGUAUAGCAAACCUUUGUGUCAGAAGGCCUCUAAGUGCUAAGAAUGGGAAUAUCAAUUCACUGAAUGUUUAUCACCGACGGAAAAUUAAAUGUGUGUAAAGGACUAGCAUUGUUGAGAUCAGUAGCUAAGAGGAAGCAUUUCUGUUCUCUUCCUUUAACCCUUAAAUACCCAAGAUUUGAUUGUCAAUUCUCCCUUCUAGUUGCUACACAUUUACUUGUAAAUAAGUUAUAAGAAUUUGAUGUAAGAUCAAGAUAACUUCUGCCUGAUAAGUUUCAGUAUUAACGUUAUCUGUUUGCUGGAUAGUGUUUAGAGAAGUUACAUGAAUCAGUCACUUCUGUGAGUUUUUAAAUUGUCUAAUAUUUUGGUCUAAUUCUUUCAAUGGUGUCUUGCCACCUAACAAAUUACCAUGAGUCACGAACUGAAAUGGUUUUCAAUGUAUCACGAGCAUAAGUUGUCCUGAACCAGAUGGGUAUGAAAAUAUUAUUACAUCUGUUAGUUUCAGUUUUCCUCAUGGGUUGAUAGAAACAAGGGUUAUAAUCAAAUGGUUCUACAGGCUCUAUUGUAUAGUUUCCUGUAAGAUGAAAUGUACAAAUGGCAAACUAAAAGACAUCUUGGUGAACAAAAUGGGAACAACUUUAACUGAAGAAUAUGGUACAACAACAAGUACCACAUCAACAACAGCAUCAAUAACAAAUCUCCUCUACCUAAAGAGCUGCAGUCGUUGCCUCACUUUCUAAGCCAUCCUGAACAGCUUCUGUGGUACUUCCUGUGAUGCGUUCCUCUCAACAUGAUGUGGCAAUAUUCUUGUGAAACAAUGUGGUAAUCGUAAAGCUGACUGAAAUUCAUCUCAGAUAAAUCUGCACUCAAAAGACUGUUGUAAUAAAGAAAUCAGCAUCCAUAGAAGUGAAGUUUGUAAUUGAGAUUAUAAACACCUCAAGCUGAAAAACAAACUUUUGAUCUCAUGAAACAGGCAUAAAAGGGAAGCAGAUGUAUCACAAAAAGGAACAUUUAUGAUAAUGAUCUAAGUGGAUGUGAGAAACAUUUUUUGCUUUUAAAGGUAGAAGAUGGUCUAAAGAAAGAGUUUGCUGUGGAGCUCCCCAUGCCCCAGACAUGACCAGCAAGAUCAAAUUUUUCAUCAAAUUUUCAGAAAUCGAGAGAACCUAUACAAACCAAAAUACUAUCUUUCAAUGAGGAACUGCUUACCAAUCUCAAGGGAAUUUAUAGUACAUACAAAUCACAACAGUUAAUAUAAAAUGUAAAAAUCGCUAUGAUACAAUUUAUAAAAUAAUUAAGACUGUAUGUUAGUACUCUUAUUGGU